rnacentral:rRNA from 1 species
AAGGCAGCCACCGCCACAGCUGCUGACGCUGAGGCGCGAGAGCGUGGGGAGCAAACCGGAUUAGAUACCCGGGUAGUCCACGCCCUAAACGAUGCGCACUAGGUCUUUGGGUUUACUGGGGGCCGAAGCUAACGCGUUAAGUGCGCCGCCUGGGGAAUACGGCCGCAAGGCUGAAACUCAAAGGAAUUGACGGGGGCCCGCACAAGCGGUGGAGCAUGUGAUUUAAUUCGAAGCAACGCGAAGAACCUUACCAGGCCUUGACAUGCUGGGGAACCUGCCUGAAAGGGCGGGGUGCCGUAAGGAGCCCCAGCACAAGUGCUGCAUGGCCGUCGUCAGCUCGUGCCGUGAGGUGUUGGGUUAAGUCCCGCAACGAGCGCAACCCCUGCCCCUAGUUGCCAGCGGGUGAAGCCGGGGACUCUAGGGGGACUGCCCGCGAAAGCGGGAGGAAGGCGGGGACGACGUCUGGUCAGCAUGGCCCUUACGGCCUGGGCGACACACGUGCUACAAUGCCCACUACAGAGCGAGGCGACCGGGCGACCGGGGGCGAAUCGCAAAAAGGUGGGCGUAGUUCGGAUUGCAGUCUGCAACUCGACUGCAUGAAGUCGGAAUCGCUAGUAAUCGCGGAUCAGCCAUGCCGCGGUGAAUACGUUCCCGGGCCUUGUACACACCGCCCGUCACGCCAUGGGAGCGGGUUCUACCCGAAGUCGCCGGGAGCCUGAGGGCAGGCGCCGAGGGUAGGGCUCGUGACUGGGGCGAAGUCGUAACAAGGUAACCAAGCC